GAUAAACGCUGGCGGCGUGCUUAACACAUGCAAGUCGAACGAUGAAGCCCAGCUUGCUGGGUGGAUUAGUGGCGAACGGGUGAGUAACACGUGAGUAACCUGCCCUUGACUCUGGGAUAAGCCUGGGAAACUGGGUCUAAUACUGGAUAUGACUUCUCAUCGCAUGGUGGGGGGUGGAAAGAUUUAUUGGUCUUGGAUGGACUCGCGGCCUAUCAGCUUGUUGGUGAGGUAAUGGCUCACCAAGGCGACGACGGGUAGCCGGCCUGAGAGGGUGACCGGCCACACUGGGACUGAGACACGGCCCAGACUCCUACGGGAGGCAGCAGUGGGGAAUAUUGCACAAUGGGCGCAAGCCUGGUGCAGCGACGCCGCGUGAGGGAUGACGGCCUUCGGGUUGUAAACCUCUUUCAGUAGGGAAGAAGCGAGAGUGACGGUACCUGCAGAAGAAGCGCCGGCUAACUACGUG
rnacentral:rRNA from 1 species